GAUGAACGCUGGCGGCGUGCCUAAUACAUGCAAGUCGAGCGAACAGAUAAGGAGCUUGCUCCUUUGACGUUAGCGGCGGACGGGUGAGUAACACGUGGAUAACCUACCUAUAAGACUGGGAUAACUUCGGGAAACCGGAGCUAAUACCGGAUAACAUAUUGAACCGCAUGGUUCAAUAGUGAAAGGCGGCUUUGCUGUCACUUAUAGAUGGAUCCGCGCCGUAUUAGCUAGUUGGUAAGGUAACGGCUUACCAAGGCAACGAUACGUAGCCGACCUGAGAGGGGGAUCGGCCACACUGAAACUGAGACACGGUCCAGACACCUACGGGAGGCAGCGGUAGGGAAUCUUCCGCAAUGGGCGAAAGCCUGACGGAGCAACGCCGGGUGGGUGAUGAAGGUCUUCGGAUCGUAAAACUCUGUUAUCAGGGAAAAACAAAUGUGUAAGUAACUGUGCACAUCUUGACGGUACCUAUCAGAAAGCCACGGCUAACUACGUG
rnacentral:rRNA from 1 species